GUCGGAUUAGGUGCGUAAGCACUUGGUAAGACGAGCCUAAGGUCUGACUGUGAAUGCCCCACCGUCUCCAGCCGAUGUACGGUCAUUGUAACCUGGGAAAGCCUGUAGUGCAGCAGACGGAGGAGGUGGUAAAUGCCAUGUGUAGCGGCUGAUAAUGCGCAGAGAUACUGGCAUGGAAACAUCCAGCGGUCGAAAGGCGGACUGUCUUGGUCUGUAACCUGACGCUGAUGUGCGAAAGCGUGGCGGAUCAAACAGGAUUAGAUAUCAUGGUAGUCCACGCCGUAAACCGAUGAGUGCUAAGUGUUAGGGGGGUUUCCGCCCCAUUAGUGCUGCAGCUAACGCAUUAAGCACUCCUCCUGGGGAGUACGACCGCAAGGUUGAAACUCAAAGGAAUUGACGGGGACCCCGCACAAGCGGUGGAGCAUGUGGUAUAAUUCGAAGCAACGCGAAGAACCUUACCAAAUCUUGACAUCCUUUGACCGCUCUAGAGAUAGAGUCUUCCCCUUCGGGGGACAAAGUGACAGGUGGUGCAUGGUUGUCGUCAGCUCGUGUCGUGAGAUGUUGGGUUAAGUCCCGCAACGAGCGCAACCCUUAAGCUUAGUUGCCAUCAUUAAGUUGGGCACUCUAGGUUGACUGCCGGUGACAAACCGGAGGAAGGUGGGGAUGACGUCAAAUCAUCAUGCCCCUUAUGAUUUGGGCUACACACGUGCUACAAUGGAUAAUACAAAGGGCAGCGAAUCCGCGAGGCCAAGCAAAUCCCAUAAAAUUAUUCUCAGUUCGGAUUGUAGUCUGCAACUCGACUACAUGAAGCUGGAAUCGCUAGUAAUCGUAGAUCAGCAUGCUACGGUGAAUACGUUCCCGGGUCUUGUACACACCGCCCGUCCCACCACGAGAGUUUGUAACACCCGAAGCCGGUGGAGUAACCUUUUAGGAGUCUAGCCGUCGAAGGUGGGACAAAUGAUUGGGGUGAAGUCGAUCGAGACCACGAGC
rnacentral:rRNA from 1 species